rnacentral:tRNA from 1 species
GUGUAUGUAAUUUAAAAAAAAUAUCAAGUUGUGACCCUGACAUUAGG